rnacentral:misc_RNA from 1 species
ACAUGGCCGCGGAGAGUGGUGACGGUUUGCCAAUAUCCCCGUCCGAGAAAUCUCUUACUGGUAGCCUCGCGUCCGACGAAAAUGAGAAAAGUGUCUCACGUUCACCGUCAAGUUAUUCCAUACGGGAGGACAAAUGGCCUGACCUUGUCGUGUCUAGACCCAGAAAGCUGGAUGCCUGGUGGUUGCCGAGACGAAUCCCUGACUGGCUUGAAACUGCGACCGCCGGGUGAUCACGGUGGUGUACAUCACGGCGGGGUCAUGCUGGAAGAAGAUAUGGCUGGUGCCCAGGACACAAUAUAUUUGUGUAAUUUUCGAGUGUCGGUAGAUGGCGAAUGGCUCUGUUUGAAAGAACUCCAGGAUGUCGAGUUCUCACUCCAAGAUUCGAUGCAGCGAUCGCCUUCACCGCCGCUUGCUCUCAGUGCACGAGAUCCGGUGAUCAUCGAAAGAAGUAAUCUCGUUAACAUUUCGAAACUAAUCGUCAAGGAGUUGAUUGAAACAUCUUUAAAAUAUGGUCGUAUGCUCGAUUCUGAUCAUAUGCCGUUGCAACAUUUCUUCAUCGUUCUUGAACAUGUACUUAGACAUGGUUUACGACCGAAGAAGGGUCUUCUCGGACCCAAAAAGGAAUUGUGGGAUAUUCUUCAGCUCGUAGAAAAAUAUUGUCCUGAAGCUCAAGAUAUUACGUCCAGCAUUCGUGAUUUACCUACUGUUAGGACGGCUAUGGGUAGGGCACGCGCUUGGUUGCGUAUGGCGUUGAUGCAAAAAAAAUUAGCAGAUUAUCUCAAAGUUCUGAUAGAUCACAAAGAUGAUAUUUUGUCUGAAUAUUUUGAACCAGAUGCUUUGAUGAUGAGCGAAGAGGCAAUUGUAGUGAUGGGUUUGUUAGUGGGAUUAAAUGUGAUCGAUUGCAACUUCUGUGUAAAGGAAGAAGACCUCGAUUGUCAACAGGGCGUAAUUGAUUUUUCAUUAUAUCUGCGUAACAGUAAUCAUAUACCUGGUGAAUCACCAGACGAUGAACUCGAAAACGAUAACAUGACGACGGUGCUUGAUCAAAAGAAUUAUAUCGAGGAGCUCAAUCGACAUUUAAAUGCAACGGUAACGAACCUUCAAGCUAAAGUAGAAUCUCUGACAACAACGAACGCUCUUAUGAAAGAGGAUCUUGCUAUUGCUAAGAACAAUAUUUUAUCGCUUCAAGAAGAGAACAGACAACUAAAAAAAGAACUUGGUAUAGAAGUUAAAGACGCAAACGAGAACGGGAAGGUACCUCUUAAAAUAACAGAAACUACCGCUGAAAUGGAAGAACUUAGAAGCAGAAUAGAAUCUGAAAAGAAAUCUCGACAAGACUUAGAGAAAGAACUAGAAUUGCAGAUUAGCAUGAAAUCCGAAAUGGAAGUAGCUAUGAAGUUGUUAGAAAAGGAUAUACAUGAAAAACAGGAUACUAUAAUAUCUUUAAGGCGACAACUGGAGGAUAUCAAAUUAAUCAACUUGGAAAUGUACAAAAAGCUGCAGGAAUGCGAAGGCUCUCUUAAACAUAAGACAGAACUGAUUACAAAACUGGAAGCUAAAACACUAUCGAUGAGCGAGACCAUCCAGAAAAUGGAUGAAAAGUGCAAGGAGAUGGAUGGUGUCAGAUCGGGGGUAGAGGAGAGGGUGAGGAUUCUGGAUGCCGAGGCCGCUGAGCGGGAAGCGCGGACGAAUGGGGUCGAGAGGGAAUUGCGACUUGAACGCGAGUGGAGAACCUCCUUGCAGGAAACAUCGAUCUGUAACACGGAGAAGAUCUCUCAAUUACAUCAGGAAAUCGAUCAGCUGAAACGGGUGUCUGAGAGGUACUUGAUGCUGCAGGAAGAGUAUUAUGCUCUAAAGGAGAUAUGCAGCGAGCAGGAACGAACUCUGGAGGAACUUGGAGGACAAUUGAGCGCGGCCAAAUUAGCGGCGGUCGAACUGCGCGAGGCCGCUGACAACGCUCAGCAGCAGCAACAGCAGUCGGCACUGCAAGAGGGCUCGGUAACCUGGACGAAUGAUCGGAUGGUCACCCAAUGCAAGGGAUGCAGCCGUGAGUUCAACAUGACUCGUCGCAAGCACGAAUCACGCAUGCCGGCACGAUAUGAGCGCUUAAAGUAUUCGCGCGGAGAUCUUGAUCGUUCCGUUCGUUGCAGUUGCGUGCAUCGAUAAGGGAAGAGCGCCAACUACGGCGAGAGCGUAUUCGUGCAUUCGUCAUACAGCAUCAUUGUCGCAAUUGUGGUAACAUUUUCUGUAAUGCCUGCAGUGACAAU